CAGCCCCGAUUACUCACUCAGUGCUGGGAGGAGGAGGAGGAGGCGGCGGAGGAGGGGAUUUCAGAGCCAUUCAAUCACUCUCUAGCAGCCAUCUUCACUUCUCUUUUUCUCAUCACUUCAUCCUUAGCAUUAGUGUAGAGUCUCCAGCUUCUCUCCCAUCCAGAUUGCAGGCAAAGCCCGUGCCAGUCCCAGCGGUAGCUUGGCUCUGCCUAUCUGGGAAGUAGCCGGGGGCUGCGGUUUUCAGCGCGUUGCACUGAUUGCACUGAGACGGGGGUACCACAGUGAAUCCCACGCACAUCCAUCUCUGCUGGGCUGCACAAAGCGGAUCUGCGAGAAGCGAUCUGGUGUUUCAUCAGCUCGGGAAGACCUCAAGUGCAUUUUCCCCAAUGUUGGGAAAUGCAAACUGAAUUCUGAGACUCUGCAUGUCCACCUGAAGGCAUUUACAUGUGAGAUUUGCACAUCUGUUGGAUUAAGGGCUCUGCUUGGAAGAACUCAACCAUUUGGGGGUCUGGGUGGCUUUGUUAUCCCCACCUCUCUGUGGCUUUAGGACUAACAAAAAUGAGUGAAUUCUGGUUGUGUUUCAACUGCUGCAUCGCAGAACAACCACAGCCUAAAAGACGAAGGCGGAUUGACAGAAGUAUGAUUGGUGAACCCACAAACUUUGUUCACACAGCACAUGUAGGAUCAGGAGACCUUUUUAGUGGAAUGAACUCAGUGAGUUCAAUUCAAAACCAAAUGCAGUCCAAAGGUGGCUACAGUGGAAAUAUGCCUGCGAAUGUUCAGAUGCAGCUUGUGGAUACGAAGGCAGGAUAACCAUGGCACUACAUCUGCAGUAAGUUAAACUGUAGUGUAGCAAGAGCUGCCACAACAGAGAGCCUUUCUAGAUGGUUCGUAACUUCGCCUGCCUUUUGUCCCUCUCCACCUUCAUGUUUGCGUUGGUGACUCUGCUUCUGUGUGUUCCAUCUCCUGCCAGAUGAUUCGUUGUUCCCCUCGUGUGAUGACAGAUAGGAAAAGAUGCUGGCCUGUGCUGAGGAUGUAGCUUAUCAGUUCUGCUGGACCAUGCCUUUUCACUUGAACGCAGGGCUCUGGUCUUUGCCAAAACCUCUUACUCCCCUUCUAUAAAAGUAGUAUUUUAAAAUAACCUUAUUUUUCAAGCACAGCUUUUUUAAAAUAUUUUUUCUGUUUUGCUUUUUUUAUUUUUUAGCAAAGCUUACGCUCCUAACAUAUUUCAUUGCUUACUUGAUUUUGGAAAGGCCUGAGGCCUGCAAGCACAAUGCUAAUUGCAAUACGGACUGCAGUGAAAUAGAAGCCGUGCAUGCUUUGUAAAGUUCUUCUGUACAGCGGCUCACCAGGCCUUGGAAAGCUACACUGACAAAUGCUUUCUUGGUGCCACCAACCUGUGCCCAGUCUAUUACAGGAAGGAAACGAAAAAGACUUAUUUUAUCCUAGCUGCUUUACCGUUCUGUCAGUUUAGUGAUACCCAAGUAGGUUUUGAAGAGGGUAAUAAUGAAAUAAUAAUGAUAAUAAUAAAAAAAAAAGAAUCUUCCAUUCAUAGGAAUUCUGCUGUAAAUGUUCCGUAUAUUUAUUUGAAAGAUCUGACCUCAAGAUUGUAAACCCGUGUAGUAACCUAUAAUGUGUCGUGUUGGUGCUUUCGUCUGUAAGAAAACAAAUAGAACCCCCCCCCCAUUGCCGCUUCGUCAGCCGUUCCAUGCCAAUGGCAGCAUGUCACUGUGCCUGCAAUGUCCCAGUUUUCAUGUUUUCUGCAGGUUCUGUCCCAUUCCCUAAAGUCCAUUAUUGAAGUGCAGUGUGCGGCGAUCUGGAUGCCUGUGUUACCAGAAUAGGAAUCGACAAACUGGCUUAACAUACAGGGUGACUUUUGAUAAAAAGUCUUUUGCUCAGGUUCCAAAGCAUGUAUUUCUUUUCACACGUUGUGAAAAAAUGUUUCUUUUAAUAUUGCACUGUUCCUCGGAUGUACAUGUUAUUGAUCCUGUAUUAAUUUCCUGUUAGGGGCUUGGUUGUAUUGAAUAUGUGAGGUUUAUCUGUAAGUCCGGUUGAAUGCUUGUCUGAAAAGAUAUUUCGCCAAAUGUACUAUUAUAUCUAUCAGCCUAUACCUUACCCACAACUCCAGCCAUGUGCUGAAAGCAAAGCUAAAAGAACAAUUCAUCAAUACAAUGCCAGAGGGAUCCUCGGCACAUCUGUUGCAGUCAAAUGGUUAAUUGAAAAUAAAAUAAAAAUCAGAAUGUAUAUUUAGAAUCUAUUGCCAAGCAAAACUCUAGAUCACAUUUUAAGAAAUCAUUUACAUACAGCAAAUACUAUAAGGCAAAAAGCAUGGCCCCCACCUGUGUGGCACUUGUGACUGUUGUGUUUCCAUUGAUCACAUUACAGUAAGGCGUCUUCUUACCCUAAAGAAAUGCAGCUUCCAAUCAAAGAUUGCCAGGGCUUUUCGAAAGUUGUAGUUUAGCUACAGUUGGAAAGUCACAAUCUGCUGAUUGUACUCUUAUACAAAAGUUUAUCACCCUUUUAAAGGAGAACUAAAGCUUAACUAAAGAAGUAGGCUAGAAAUGUUGUACAUUUUGUUUUGGGCUUCUGUACCAGCCCAGGGCAACCACAGCCCUUUAGCAGGGAAGAUCUGUGUCUCCAAAGAUGUCCCAGUAGCUCCCCAUCUUCUUUUUCUGCUGGUUCACUGCACAUGCUCUGUGCUGCUGUCACUUAUUGAGCUUAGGGACCCACUCACAAUAUACAGUACACAUAGGGUUGCCACCCGCCGGUAAAACACCUGCCAAGGCCGGGCCAGUAUUACAAAUUUACCGGCAAUCCAGUUGCCGGUAAUUUAUAAUACCCUUUAAAAAAAAGCCCGCGGCCUGCCCCCAGUUGCGCAGAACUUAACUUUUUUGUAGUGUUCUUGACAUUGCCGCGAUGUGGCUCCGCCGCAUUUUGCGUCACUCUGCGUAGCCCCGCCCCUUUUGCAUCGUGGACUGCCUCCUUUUUGUACCCGCCCCCCACCGGCCAGUUAUUUUUUUUCAGUAAAGGUGGCAACCCUAAGUACACAUAGAAUAUAAAGGUCACAGUAUAAGGGUGAUUAGUAAUUAAUAUGGAUAAAAAAGACAUGACAGCACAGAAACCAGUGCAACUAGCAUCAGAAUUAAAUAAUCAGCCCUGUAGCAUCAGCUUAUAUUAUAGAGAACCCUCAUUUUCUGCUUGAUAAUUUAUGGUGACCCCUAAACGUAGCUUCCCAACUGCUGCUCGGAGCCCACUGAGCAUGACACUUUCCAAGAUGGUGACCCCCUGUGACAAGGAUGAAGUACUGGAUCAUUGCUGCUAUUGACAAGCUGAAACUUUAAGCUAGUGCAAUAAGUUCAGUAUAUAAAAUAUGGCAUUUUUAGCCAUAUUCAUUUUUAGGGUUUAGUUCUCCUCUAAAAAUGACCUCUUACACAUAGAUUCAUUAUGUAGCUUUAGGCACUGCCUCAUGCUUGUCUCUUAGGAUGGAUUUCCAUAGAUGGUUUUAGCAACAUCAUCAGCUGUAUGUUUACCACUACUUGGUAAUUUGAUUGCAGGUUGGAGACAAUAAGAUCAUUUACAAAACAUGUAACGGGUGCCAAAAUGGAUGCUAAUCACCAUGUUUUGUACUCACAGUGCAGUGUUUUCUCAAAAUUCCAGAGGCAAGCUUUAUGAAAAAUACUGUCAGGCUUGUGUAAAUCUUUGCAGUUCAUAAAUGUCUGCUAUUCUGUAAUAAAUACAGAAACAGCUAUUCCUUGCAUACAAUUUACUAUGCACCCAAACUUAUGUCAGGGAUAGAAAGCAGUCGAUAAACCCAUCUAGUAAACAGAGUGUAUAUUCCAUCAGGGGGUGAUUAACAAGUGAAAUCCAACAGCCUGAAGAAAAUCCUAGUAUUGUAAGACAGAAUGAGGGUAUGUACUGUUUUUUUUCCAUAAAAAACACUUUAGCCAAGUGUGCUAGGACUAUUUGCAAUACUUUCGUCAUCUGAAACCCAGUCUGUACGAAGAGCAGGUUUAUCAAAAAAUAUUUUCAGAUUCUUUGAUCAAGAGUAAAAAAAAUAAAAGAAAUAAUUUACAUAUUUUUAUAACAAAACAUACUUUUUGUACAUUGUGUUCAUUCUCGAAUGAAGUCGGUUCAGUGUUGGCUUGUAGAUAUUACAGAGGAGUAUUGACAUUGAUUCAAUAAACAUUUUCUUUCA